rnacentral:lncRNA from 1 species
CGGCCGCCCCCGGCACCACGUAAGACGCCCCCGCGCGCCCAGCCUCGGCCCAGGCCCGAGCCCCGCAGGCAGGCGAGCGCUGCGCGUCGCCCGCGGCCCGCGAGGAGGCGGAGGAGCAGGACGAGGCGCCGCCUUCCCCGCGCCGCGCGCCCUCGCCCGCCGUUGUCUGCGCUGCGCUGCGCUGGACCAGUUUCGCGAAGUUGCCCGGGCCCCGCGUCGCCCAGAUGUGCGACCUCAUUGAACCGCAGCCGGCCGAGAAGAUCGGCAAGAUGAAGAAGUUGAGGAGAACUUUGUCCGAGAGUUUCAGCCGCAUCGCUCUGAAGAAAGACGACACCACCUUUGAUGAGGUAGGCUAAGUUUCUUCCUCCAACACAAAGGCGUAUUUAUUUACUGUUAAGUAGAGUCCGUAGGUGCUGAUGUUGUGCUUAGAAACAGAAAACGAUAAAAACAAAACAAAACCCCAAAGCUUAAGAAACAAGUAA